rnacentral:rRNA from 1 species
GGCAGCACGGGAGCUUGCUCCUGGUGGCGAGUGGCGAACGGGUGAGUAACACGUCGGAACGUAUCCAUGUAAUGGGGGAUAACGCAGCGAAAGCUGUGCUAAUACCGCAUACGCCCUACGGGGGAAAGCAGGGGAUCCUCGGACCUUGCGUUAUUGGAGCGGCCGACGUCUGAUUAGCUAGUUGGUGGGGUAAAGGCCUACCAAGGCGACGAUCAGUAGCUGGUCUGAGAGGAUGAUCAGCCACACUGGAACUGAGACACGGUCCAGACUCCUACGGGAGGCAGCAGUGGGGAAUUUUGGACAAUGGGCGCAAGCCUGAUCCAGCCAUUCCGCGUGAGUGAAGAAGGCCUUCGGGUUGUAAAGCUCUUUCAGCAGGGAAGAAACGAUCUUGGCUAAUACCUGGGAUUAAUGACGGACCUGAGAAGAACACCGGCUAACUACGUGCCACAGCCGCGGUAAUACGUAGGGUGCGAGCGUAAUCGGAAUACUGGGCGUAAGCGUGCGCAGCGGUUUUUAAGUCUGAUGUGAAGCCCCGGGCUUACCUGGGAACUGGUUGGAAACUGAAGACUAGAGUGCGGCAGAUGGCGGUAGAAUUCCACGUGUAGCAGUGAAAUGCGUAGAUAUGUGGAGGAAUACUGAUGACGAAUGCAGCCCCCUGGGUCGACACUGACGCUCAUGCACGAAUACGUCGGUAGCUAACUGGAUUAGAUACCCUGGUAGUCACGCCCUAGACGAUAUCAUCUAUUGCUUGCGGACGGAGACCUCUUAGUAAUCAGCCUACGCGUGAAGUUGACCGCCUGGUGAGUACGGUCGCUAGAUCAAACUUCAAUGCAUUGACCGGG